UACGUAGGGUGCGAGCGUUAAUCGGAAUUACUGGGCGUAAAGUGUGCGCAGGCGGUUUCUUAAGUCAGAUGUGAAAUCCCCGGGCUUAACCUGGGAACCGCAUUUGUGACUGCAUAGCUGGAGUACGGCAGAGGGGGAUGGAAUUCCGCGUGUAGCAGUGAAAUGCGUAGAUAUGCGGAGGAACACCGAUGGCGAAGGCAGUCCCCUGGGCCUGUACUGACGCUCAUGCACGAAAGCGUGGGGAGCAAACAGG
rnacentral:rRNA from 1 species